rnacentral:rRNA from 1 species
AGUUGGUGGUGAAAUCCCAGAGCUUAACUCUGGAACUGCCAUCAAAACUUUUCAGCUAGAGUUUGAUAGAGGAAAGCAGAAUUUCUAGUGUAGAGGUGAAAUUCGUAGAUAUUAGAAAGAAUACCAAUUGCGAAGGCAGCUUUCUGGAUCAUUACUGACACUGAGGAACGAAAGCAUGGGUAGCGAAGAGGAUUAGAUACCCUCGUAGUCCAUGCUGUAAACGAUGUGUGUUAGACGUUGGAAAUUUAUUUUCAGUGUCGCAGCGAAAGCGAUAAACACACCGCCUGGGGAGUACGACCGCAAGGUUAAAACUCAAAUGAAUUGACGGGGACCCGCACAAGUAGUGGAGCAUGUGGUUUAAUUCGAAGAUACGCGCAGAACCUUACCAACACUUGACAUGUUCGUCGCGACUUUAAGAGAUUAAAGUUUUCGGUUCGGCCGGACGAAACACAGGUGCUGCAUGGCUGUCGUCAGCUCGUGUCGUGAGAUGUUGGGUUAAGUCCCGCAACGAGCGCAACCCUCACUUUUAGUUGCCAUCAUUAAGUUGGGCACUCUGAAAGAACUGCCAGUGAUAAGCUGGAGGAAGGUGGGGAUGACGUCAAGUCCUCAUGGCCCUUACGUGUUGGGCUACACACGUGCUACAAUGGUAUCUACAACAGGAAGCAAGACGGCGACGUUUAGCAAAUCCUUAAAAGAUACCUCAGUUCGGAUUGCACUCUGCAACUCGAGUGCAUGAAGCUGGAAUUACUAGUAAUCGUGGAUCAGCGUGCCACGGUGAAU